rnacentral:rRNA from 1 species
UACGUAGGGUCCGAGCGUUGUCCGGAAUUAUUGGGCGUAAAGGGCUCGUAGGCGGUUUGUCACGUCGGGAGUGAAAACUCGGGGCUUAACCCCGAGCCUGCUUCCGAUACGGGCUGACUAGAGGUAUGCAGGGGAGAACGGAAUUCCUGGUGUAGCGGUGAAAUGCGCAGAUAUCUGGAGGAACACCGAUGGCGAAGGCAGCCCCCUGGGCUAACACUGACGCUCAUGCACGAAAGCGUGGGGAGCAAACAGG